rnacentral:rRNA from 1 species
GACGAACGCUGGCGGCGUGCUUAACACAUGCAAGUCGAACGGUGAAGGGACCAGCUUGCUGGUUCUGGAUGAGUGGCGAACGGGUGAGUAACACGUGAGUAACCUGCCCCCUUCUUCUGGAUAACCGCAUGAAAGUGUGGCUAAUACGGGAUAUUCUGGGUCUGUCGCAUGGCGGGCCCGGGAAAGAUAUUGCUUCGGUGGGGGAUGGGCUCGCGGCCUAUCAGCUUGUUGGUGGGGUGAUGGCCUACCAAGGCGGUGACGGGUAGCCGGCCUGAGAGGGUGGACGGUCACACUGGGACUGAGACACGGCCCAGACUCCUACGGGAGGCAGCAGUGGGGAAUAUUGCACAAUGGGCGCAAGCCUGAUGCGGCGACGCCGCGUGAGGGAUGGAGGCCUUCGGGUUGUAAACCUCUUUCGCCAGUGAAGCAGGCCUGCUCCUUGUGGGUGGGUUGACGGUAGCUGGAUAAGAAGCGCCGGCUAACUACGUG